CCUCUCAGUUUAUGACUGACCUACCUCCUGCCAGGUUUUAUACUGACUGAGGAAAGAGAUCCAUUUACUCUUAAACAGACUUUUUGGGGGGGAUUUAUGCUAAAUUCCUUUUUACUCUAAAAAACCCUUAGUUUACCGGAGGCUCCUGUAUUUUUCAAUUUCCCCAAUAGAGUGAAUUCCUUUCAGACUGGUGAACUACACAUCCGAAGUGGGCCGGCUGUUCAUGAAGUUGCAAAAUUGCAUCAUGCUACAGUCUGUCCAAGGUUCUUCUGUGCUCUGCUCAACAAUUUGCAUUUUCAAUGUGCUGUAAAAUGGACUAAUCUUGUUUAAAGUGAUCGAAAAUGUAACUACGUUUCCCCAAAGUAAUAUCUCAACGGGAACAGUUUUGUACUUUAUGUUCUUUGUAUGAUCAACAUUUUUUUUCUUUGUCAGUUUGGCUUCAUGGAGCCUAUUAAACAGACUGUGGAAAAUAAUCUUGAUUCCUUUUGCCUUUCAAAAUGACCGCAUGGGGGAGUUUAGUAGAGAGCUGAGGGCUUAUGUUAAUGUAAUGCUGCGUAUGAACAAAGUCACCUGCUCAAAGCACUGAAAUUAAACAUGGAUGUCUCUGGAGGGCGAUUGUAAAUUGGCAGUUUAGGUAUCCAGUAAUCUGGAUGAGUAGAGGGGAAGGCUGUAACUGGGUGUAUUUUAAAGUUCUCAUCAUUUGACAAGCUGCCUGUUUUAAGAUUUCCAAACUUGGAUAUUGGCUCAGCGAAUUCUUUAAAUUUUUCAAAGCCAUCCAUUAGCCAAAUGAAACUUCAGUGUAUUGAGAUCAAACCUCUAGUGAGGUUUGAAUGAGCCCCAAAAGUGGCACAUUGGAAAUGCUGGGAAAACAUCAGCUGGUGUCUGGUCAUGUUAAUGCUUCAUUACGUUCAAGAGGUCAGCUACUUCAAAAACCUACAAGUCCUUGGAGAGUGAAGUGUUGCGCCUACCAACAAGUGCUCAUCAGAGAGGAAAGCUGCUCUCUUGCCUAGGUCAUAUGUGGAGAAAGUAGGCCAGUGCACGUGAGGUAAAAAUCUCCUUUUGCUUUGCUCACAUCCUUCAAACUCAGUUCUCAUUGUUUCCAUGAAUACCUUCAAGUUAGUCGCUGUGUUUAGUCCUCUGCUUCAGAAGUCGCCUACAACCAUGCCAAGGCCUCUUCCCCAAUUCUGAUUCUUAAAAGUCCAUUAAGGGGGAAAAAGUUUCUAUGAAGCUCUUCUGGAUUGUAGUGCUCCACACCCCGAGUCCACCAAAAACAAGCAUUGGCCUCUUAAAAGUCACGGGUAGCAUUGUGGCUCAGUCCACUUGUGUUCACUGCUUUAGUCUUCAAUUCGCCUCAGUAAUGUCCCACAGCAGUCCUAAUUGAUGUGUAAGGUGUCCUAGACUGCAUUCAGUUUCUCUUUGUACCCUUACACAUGAAUAAGUGGUGAGUUUCAGACCUCAUUUAUAGUGUUGCAUGCAGAUUAUUGUGAUUUGCUGAGACAAACAUGAAUUGCCGGGCUUAAUCCAUCUCUUUAUCUUUUUCUUUAGAGUGAACUGACGGUUGGAGGCUUCACUUGAUGGCCGAGCCACUGAAGUAGCCGGGAUGAGAUGGAAGUGACAAAUGCAGAUGCUGCAUCAGGUCCAACAUGCAGCAGCAGUCAGGCAGCUGUUUGCAGUAUCUACAUGAAGGAACCUACCAACUAAAAGUUGAAGGCCUUUGAGACGUUUGCUGGCCUGAGAAGCACAUUUUCCAAAUGUUACGGCGGCUUUGCAAAGUCCUUGAUAUCCAGCUUAAGUGGAAAAUAUCGGACAGAUGGGACAGCAGAACUGUGAAUGUUUUAUUACCGUCCAGUCUGAUUUGCGCCUGUUCUCAUCAAUUGGAACUGACUUAAUUUAAAUACAAAAGACAAACUACUGUUGCCAUUUUCAUUUUUGUAUUGCAACUUCAAAAAUAAAAUUGCAAA